AAGUCGGUUUUACCGACGCUUUUUUGCCGACGCUUUUUACAAGCGUCGGCAAUUUUCGGUCUAGCGUCAAAAUUUGCCGACGCUUGUAAAAAGCGUGGGCAAAAGACGACGCUAAUAAGCGUCGGUGUAGUCUCCGGCCUAAGACGACGCUAAAAAGCGUCGUCGGAAGCCAACGCACCAGGCUAAAUCCCAACCCUCUUCUGACCACCCCCGUCGGAAGCUUCCCUCACACACCAGUCUCUCUCUCUCUACCCUCGAGCCUCAUCUCUCUCAUCCCUCCUCCCUCCUCUCUCCGGGUUUCCGUUUUCCCGGCCACCGCCCUCCUCUCUCUAUUUAACCACGAAGGCCACGAAGGCCGAGAUGAAGGCCAUGGCGCUGUGGCAGUUGGCCAAGAACAACCCUUCCAUCUGCAAGAGCAUCACCGAGUCCCGCGCCCUCCUCUGCUUCGCCGUCC
rnacentral:lncRNA from 1 species